UACAUGGGGUGCAACCGUUGCUCGGAAUUAUUGGGCGUAAAGCGCACGUAGGUGGUCUGUUAUGUCAGAUGUGAAAGCCCUCGGCUUAACUGAGGAAGUGCACCUGAAACUGGCAGGCUUGAGUACGAAAGAGGGUCGCGGAAUUCCCGGUGUAGAGGUGAAAUUCGUAGAUAUCGGGAGGAACACCGGUGGCGAGGGCGGCGACCUGGGUAGAUACUGACGCUGAGGCGCGAAAGCGUGGGGAGCAAACAGG
rnacentral:rRNA from 1 species